rnacentral:misc_RNA from 1 species
AUCGGACCAUAGAAAUGAUAAUAGCUUCUUUUUCUCGACCCUGAAAACCAUCAACAGUCGAAAUCUCCAUUUCUUUUAAUUCGUCUACAUUGCUUUUGAGUGUUUUCAAGAAAACAACCUGUGCUGCAUAAGGAGUGAUUAGUCCAAUAUCAGAAGCCCGGACUCCACUUUCAACUAGUCUCUUCGCAUGGGAAAUGGCAACCUCAGCUUCACCUUCAUUUAACGUGCUAUCUUCCUCAUCCCUUUUUUCUUCCAUGUCACACCCAGCUGUGUCUAUGAGCAAAAGGGCUUUUUCUGUAGAAGGCGAUUCCUUCACAUCCUCAAGGUGAUAUAGCAUAUGGCUUGCAACACUUGAAUGGGCUUCAAUCUUAUUUUCAUACAGCUCUCCGGAUGAC